AAGGCUCUUACAGGAUUGCAAAUGAGCUUUUGAAAGCAGGAGCUGAUGUUGAUGCUAGAGGAUAUGAACAAGUAACACCAUUGCAAGAUGCAGCUAAGGAGGGUCAUUAUAAGAUGGCAGAGUUAUUACUUUUUUAUGGAGCUGAUCCCUUAUUAAAAAAUGAGAUGGGAAGAUGUGCAUUGGAAGAAGCUUCUGACCCAGCUAUGAGGAAACUGCUUAAAAGCCAUGUAGCAAAAUACAGAGUAAAUUCAGUAGCAGGUGGAGAUGAUCCAAAGAAUGUGUUAAAUGCCGGAAGUGUAGAGGAUACAAACCUGCAUCAGGAGCUGGGAGAAAGUUAA
rnacentral:lncRNA from 14 species